CUGCCAGUGAACAUGACAGAGGACAGAAACAAGAGAAAGCUGGUGCAUCACGGCCUUGAUGGAAGCCCUGGGACAGUGGGACAUACAGGUACAGGGAGCCAUCCCGUCCUCAGAAGUUUAAGGAGGCUGUGCCAACAGAAUGCUAAGUCUCCAUAAGACGCAGAAAAGAGACCAUGUAAUAAAUUCUAAUAACUGCUUCUAUGCA
rnacentral:lncRNA from 1 species